CCAGCUCACUGGUCACAGCCCCAGUGAGCCUGUUCCUGUUUUCCGGUCAUCUCGUGUAGAGAGCCCUUGGUGGUGGUCAACCUGGCAUGCCCGCCUGUUGCAGUUCCAAGUUGAUGUUUUGCUCCAUCUCCAUCUGAAUAGUGACUUGGCCUGCUGGAGGAUGAAAGCCAGUGGACCAGAGACAAGCCAUGCUAAGGAGGCGGACCUGGGUCAUCCAGCCUCCAGCCAAGACAGAGGAUCAUUCAGACUCCCUGAGCCAAGCCAAGCCCAAACCAGCUUCCUGCAAAACAUGGCUGAUAUUAUCCCUGAUCUUUGCCUGUGAACCCCCAGCUGCAUCUCUCAGGUGUGGGAGAAUCCCUGGGAUCGAUGGAAGAAGAGGCCUGUGGCUCCUUGGUCUUCACACGGGUGUGUCACAGAGGGAACUGAAUCACCAAUGUGACAAGCGUGUUCAGCAUUACAAGGCUACUCAUGGCCAGAGGCGUAACAGUGGCUGUCACUCCCCGUACAACUUAUGAUUCUCUUCCUGUACCCACAGCCAGGGUUGCUGGGCCACUCUCAACCUCUAGAAUGGACAGGGUCCACACUGACGUGUAUUCCUGGAUCCUGCCUCAGCUCCAGCACAUAGCACGCACAUGGUUCAUCUUUGCUGGAUGGGCAGGCGGGGACGGGUGACAUUGUCAUCAGGUCUGGGCCAGGGCCAGUGAGAGCACAGCUUCCUUACACAUCUGUGUACUCUGACUCUAGGGGAGUCCAGCAACUUGGGCUGGAGUUCCUGGUAAGACACCAGCACAUGGCCUUUGUGUCCCAGGGGAGAAAGGGAUGAGGAACUUAAAGCCCUCAGUCAUUUCCUCAGGGACACCAGAACUAACACACUUGUAACAGAUUAGGACAGGGGCAGGGGCAGGCUCCAGGGCAUCAAGGUCGGGGUGUGCCAUGUCAUACAUGGCAGCUGAUCUUCAGGUCAAAGUUCAAGGGUGCCAACCUAUCCAGUGUACUCCAGUCUUUCCCAGGGCAGGCAGGGCUGCAGGCUGCUCUGAUUUCCAUUAGAGGAACUGGUAUGAAGUCAGCACAGAGGGUUUGAGAACAGGUUGUGUCUAAGGAAUCUGAGCAAACAGAGUCUGAAUUCCUACGAACACUGAGGCUCCUCUGGGCACUCUUGAGCUGUCGGACAGGCCAUGACCCAUGGCUGUCCUCCAGCUACACCAGGUGAACACUAUGCAGCACCGUCUUCUGCCCAAAGCACGACAUCAUCCAAGUCCAGCAUGCCAUCAUUCAUAGCCAGUGUGACAUCACUCACGGGGUGCACUUACAUAUAAGCAGGCAAUAUAAUCAUACACACAAAAUAAAAAUAAUAAAUAAAAUAUAUUUUUAAAACAUUACAAAAAAGGACACAGGAGCAGUAACGGCAACAAACCAGUGUCAGGAUCCCAGUGCAGGCCCAGGCCAGACAAACCUGAAGAAAGCAGCUCCAGGCAGAGGGCCAGCAUGGGGAAGGCCCCGCGGCUGGGAGGACCGGAGGACAAGGGAACAUCCUAUGGAGCCUAACUACAUGAGCCAUAGUGUGGCAAGUUGUCUGAAUCUGAAAGAGGCAAGGCUGACCAACUGCCUCGGCCGGGGAGCCUGUGGAUGUCUGGCAUUCCGUGCAGAAAGGAGGGGUGCGUUGGUCACCCUGGGGUGGAGUUACCAGGUGAAGCCUCCUGGAAGGGAGAGGAGCUGUAGAGAACCCCAGAAGCUGGGAUAACGUGUGGAGUGACUGAGCCUGUGUGCACCUGUACUGGAGGGUUUGGCCUGGCCUGUGGGCUGCUGAUGUCUGCCCGACAUUAACAUUUGCUUUUACUAGCUUCUGCCCUGGAAAAUAAGGACGGAAGUUAGAGCUGCUCUUAGCAGCUUCGGGGCUACCCUGGCUCUAGCCCUCCGAGAUGGGGCAACCCCGGAAGGGGCCAGGAUGCAAUUACUAUAAUCUCUACCACAUGGCUCCCACUGGCCUCUGUCUCUUCCGCACAGUCAUAGGUCACCCUUACCCUUACCCAGAGCUUCCUGAGAUGCCAGUCAUCCUGGGGCCAGAGGGAAAGGCAGGGAGGCAGACAUGAGGGAUCCUCCUUAGGGACUAAGUGGGAGGGUGACUGAGCUCUCCUGGCGUUUGUAGAAAACCAGCCGGUGAACUCUCAUAGCCACCUGCUGAGUCUGAAAUGUGGGUCUACGCCACUGCUGAGACCCACCAGCACCACUGAGAUCUUAGAACAACAUUAUUAUUUUACUGCUGUGUAAAGAGAAGCCCAAAGCCAGUGUUCCAGGCUAAGACAAAGCAAGCAAGGCAGGGCUGGUCCAUCCUGUGGCCAGAGGUCGACUCUUCUCCAGCCCCUAGCAGCCUCUCUCCUCAGCUCAAGCCCCUUCCUUGCAGCCCCUGACUUCUGCUUCAUCUCACGGCCCCUGUUGCUCACUUGACCCUUCAAAGACAGUGGGCCAUCUGGAGAGUCCAGGUCACCUCCCAUCCCAAGUCCUUAACUGAAUCAAUCUGUACAGGCCUUCGAGUGGAUGGUGAUGUGUCCUCAGGCCUGACUAAAGGAUUAGGACCUGGACUCCUUGGAGAGCCUUCACCAUCCUGUCAGGACAUCACUCUUGUCCCUAUGUUGCAGACAGAAACCAAGGCUAGGAGAGUGUGAAUGCUGCCCAGGGUCAAGGCCAAGACGAAGUCAAAGCCCAGGCCCUGGAGGGUCACCACAAUGGCUUGUGCAGGUCACUGGGACCUUCAUGAGAUUAAGGCAGAAGUAACCCAUAAUGGGCGUGUGGUUGAGGGGACGGAGACAGAGUUGGACAGCAGCCCUGAGCUGGAUGUCUCUGUGCAGGGACACCCUCCCUUAUAGUCAUAAGUGGUCAUCACUUCUCUUGGUGGUCCCUUGUGGGAAUGACUUUUCUGGGAAUGCCCUCUGAUACAAAUAAGACUCUUAACUAAGCUUGUAACC